rnacentral:rRNA from 1 species
GAUGAACGCUGGCGGCGUGCCUAAUACAUGCAAGUCGAGCGAACAGACGAGGAGCUUGCUCCUCUGACGUUAGCGGCGGACGGGUGAGUAACACGUGGAUAACCUACCUAUAAGACUGGGAUAACUUCGGGAAACCGGAGCUAAUACCGGAUAAUAUAUUGAACCGCAUGGUUCAAUAGUGAAAGACGGUUUUGCUGUCACUUAUAGAUGGAUCCGCGCCGCAUUAGCUAGUUGGUAAGGUAACGGCUUACCAAGGCAACGAUGCGUAGCCGACCUGAGAGGGUGGUCGGCCACACUGGAAGUGAGAAACGGUCCAGACUCCUAGGGGAGGCAGCAGUAGGGAAUCUUCCGCAAUGGGCGAAAGCGUGACGGAGCAACGCCGCGUGAGUGAUGAAGGUCUUCGGAUCGUAGAACUCUGUUAUUAGGAGAGAACAAAUGUGUAAGUAACUAUGCACGUCUUGACGGUACCUAAUCAGAAAGCCACGGCUAACUACGUG